rnacentral:misc_RNA from 1 species
AACGCACGAGACCUGCGGACCUGCGGAAGGAUCAUUACCGAGUUUACAACUCCCAAGCCCAAUGUGAACGUUACCAAACUGUUGCCUCGGCGGGAUCUCUGCCCCGGGUGCGUCGCAGCCCCGGACCAAGGCGCCCGCCGGAGGACCAACCAAAACUCUUUUGUAUACCCCCUCGCGGGUUUUUAUAUCUGAGCCAUCUCGGCGCCUCUCGUAGGCGUUUCGAAAAUGAAUCAAAACUUU